rnacentral:rRNA from 1 species
GACGAACGCUGGCGGCGUGCCUAAUGCAUGCAAGUCGAGCGGAAGUUGAAGAGCUUGCUCUUCAACUUUAGCGGCGGACGGGUGAGUAACACGUGGGCAACCUGCCCUGCAGAUCGGGAUAACUCCGGGAAACCGGUGCUAAUACCGAAUAGUUUUCGCCACCUCCUGGUGGCGUACGGAAAGACGGUUUCGGCUGUCACUGCAGGAUGGGCCCGCGGCGCAUUAGCUAGUUGGUGGGGUAACGGCCCACCAAGGCAACGAUGCGUAGCCGACCUGAGAGGGUGAUCGGCCACACUGGGACUGAGACACGGCCCAGACUCCUACGGGAGGCAGCAGUAGGGAAUCUUCCGCAAUGGACGAAAGUCUGACGGAGCAACGCCGCGUGAGUGACGAAGGUUUUCGGAUCGUAAAACUCUGUUGUGAGGGAAGAACAAGUACCACUUAACUACUGGUACCUUGACGGUACCUCACCAGAAAGCCACGGCUAACUUCGUGCCAGCAGCCGCGGUAAAAC